GACGAACGCUGGCGGCGUGCUUAACACAUGCAAGUCGAACGGAAAGGCCCUGCUUUUGUGGGGUGCUCGAUUGGCGAACGGGUGAGUAACACGUGAGUAACCUGCCCUUGACUUUGGGAUAACUUCAGGAAACUGGGGCUAAUACCGGAUAGGAGCUCCUGCUGCAUGGUGGGGGUUGGAAAGUUUCGGCGGUUGGGGAUGGACGCGCGGCUUAUCAGCUUGUUGGUGGGGUAGUGGCUUACCAAGGCUUUGACGGGUAGCCGGCCUGGGAGGGUGACCGGCCACAUUGGGACUGGGAUACGGCCCAGACUCCUACGGGAGGCAGCAGUGGGGAAUAUUGCACAAUGGGCGGAAGCCUGAUGCAGCAACGCCGCGUGCGGGAUGACGGCCUUCGGGUUGUAAACCGCUUUCGCCUGUGACGAAGCGUGAGUGACGGUAAUGGGUAAAGAAGCACCGGCUAACUACGUG
rnacentral:rRNA from 1 species